UGGACGAGCAUGUCGACCGAUAUAAGCCUGCACGAGCUGCUGGACCUCUCCAUAGGGACCCCAGACGUCGGAUCUGUCAAUUUCAGCGCACUGCACACUUUACUGCACGCCCUCUUGGGACACCUGAAGAUUGAGAGGGUCACAACUACCUGGAAGGAGGUGGACCACGAGCAUGACAGCCCAGCCCAGACCAAAGCCUUGCUGCUGGACACUUCGAGCCCCUACAGGGCGCUGGAGGAGAAGCUGCAGCGGAUGGAGGAGCAGAUGUGCGCGCUGGAGGCUCUGCCCAGCGCCUCGGAGCUCAUGAGGUCCGACACCGCGCUCAGCGACAUGUGGACGCUCAUGCAGCUCCGCAGAAAGACGCAGGCCAACGAGGACGGGGUGUCCAAGUGUAUGGCUUUAAUCCAAGACCUGCUGAAGGAAAUCCAGGAACUCAAAGAGUCCAGAGACGAUCUGAGACUGAAAGUUGAUGCUCUGAAUGAUCAGCUCAGCCAGCUGAACUUGAAUGAGUUGGCAGACCGUAUCUUGGCUAUGGAGCAGUAUUGCCACCAAGUGGAAGAUUUGGACAACACUACGAAAGAGCUGAAGGACAAGAUGGCCCAGUACCCUGUUCCAGAAGAGCUCACGCAGUGUGUCACAUGGGAAGUGAUGCAGGCUGCGCUCAUCAGCGAGAGGCAGAAGAUUCAGGAGGGGUUGCAGGACACCCUCUCCGCCGCUAAAAACAUUGCACCCGUUCACCCUUUGAACCUGGGUAUCCCGUUCAAAGACGACAGAGCGGGUGCAGGUGGCACAGCUGGUGUAGAUCUCUCUCGGCGGGUUUCUCCUCCCCAGCAGUCCCUGUCUGACGGGGCUCUGUGCACUGUGACGGGCCGCCGACUGUCCCGGGUCAGCAUUGGGGCUGAGCGCUACCCGGAGACCGUAGAGGCUCUGAUGGAGGUGGGCGGACUGAGAGACAGGCACGAGAGUCUGGAGGCCCGCGUGGGGCAGCUGGAGUCGAACAAGGCUGAUCAGACCCAGCUUCAACAUCUGCGUGAUCUUCUUAAUGCCAUGGAAGAGAGGCAGGUUCCUGACCAAGUGCCAGAGCAACUGAAUCAUCUGAGGACUCUUGUGGACAGUCUGCUAGCAGAUAAAGAGAAGGUGUCAGAUGUGGAGAGUGUGUUGAUGGACAUGAGGACUGUACAGGUGUGUGAGAGUUCAGACUCUGCAGGACAGGGCACAGGUUCAGCCAGCGGUCAGCACACACACUCCUCAGAGAUAGAGCAGCUGAACCUGCAGACGGCUCACAUCAGGAUUGCUGUACUGAAGCUGGAUGAGAAAGUGCAGGAGCUGAUAAGAGAGAAGAUGCGUGACAGAGCAGAAGAGAGAUACAGUGAAGACAGACACAUACAAGAGCAGUUGAACAGCCUCAGGGCUAUGAUGGAGGAUGUGAGGUCCUCCUCAUCCUCUCUACUCUCACAAAGUGGACAGCAGGAGGCAGUAAGCUUCAGCAAAGCAGACGGACAGGAUCAGGGUCAGAGUUCAGGUCAGGGUCAGGGUCAACAGCAGACAGAAGGUCAGGGUCUGGAUCAGGAGGUCAGUCAGUUGUCCCAGUCUCACAACAAACCUGAGGACAAGACCACUCUCCUCAUGAACCAGGGACAUGAGGACAGGAACAAGAACACUGAUCUGGUGAGAGAUUUAGAGGGAGCCAUACUGCAGCUGCAGUCCAAGUGUGAGAAACUACCACAGAACAUCCAACCACCUGAUGGAGGAACACAGCAAGAAACAAACACACAUCGACCAUCUGUUCAAGAUAGUGGAAGAACUGGAUGA
rnacentral:lncRNA from 1 species